rnacentral:rRNA from 1 species
UACGUAGGGUGCAAGCGUUGUCCGGAAUUAUUGGGCGUAAAGAGCUCGUAGGCGGUCUGUCGCGUCGGCUGUGAAAACCCGGAGCUCAACUCCGGGCCUGCAGUCGAUACGGGCAGACUGGAGUUCGGCAGGGGAGACUGGAAUUCCUGGUGUAGCGGUGAAAUGCGCAGAUAUCAGGAGGAACACCUGCGGUGUAGACGGCUUACUGGACCAUAACUGACGCUGAGGCACGAAAGCGUGGGUAGCAAACAGG